GCUCCGGUGGCUUAGUGGUUAAAGCGUCCGCCUCAGAUGCGAGAGGUCAUGGGUUCGAUACCCGGUCGAGUCA